AAAAAGGUAAGCUAAUUUAAGCUAUUGGGUUCAUACCCCAAAGAUAGAGCAUUGACCUCUCCUUUUUA
rnacentral:tRNA from 1 species